ACGCUUCUCCUAAAGACUAAGCCAUGCAUGCUUUCGAAUAAGAGGAAGCAAUUCUCUCUGAAUCUGCGAACGGCUCCGCACACCAGUUGUAAACCUUAGCAAGCACGAUCGGUAUCCGGCCUUCACGGGUCGGGUGCCGGUCAAUAAGGAUAACCCUGUAAUUCUGAGGCUAAUACUAGACCGUAAUCCCUGGCCGACCGGUAACGGGAAGCUGGGGGACGUGUGAUUAGGCGCAAGAAAAGCCGGGAAAGAAUG
rnacentral:rRNA from 1 species